GUCUACGGCCAUGCUACCCUGGACAAGCCCGAUCCCAUCUGAUCUUGGAAGCUAAGCAGGGGUGGGCCUGGUUAGUACUUGGAUGGGUGACCACCUAGGAAGACCAGGUGCUGUAGGCA
rfam:Pteropus alecto contig99810, whole genome shotgun sequence.